rnacentral:rRNA from 1 species
AUUGAACGCUGGCGGAAUGCUUUACACAUGCAAGUCGAACGGCAGCACGGACUUCGGUCUGGUGGCGGGUGGCGAACGGGUGAGUAAUGUAUCGGAACGUGCCCAGUCGUGGGGGAUAACGUAGUGAAAAUUACGCUAAUACCGCAUACGAUCUAUGGAUGAAAGCGGGGGAUCGCAAGACCUCGCGCGACUGGAGCGGCCGAUAUCAGAUUAGGUAGUUGGUGAGGUAAAGGCCCACCAAGCCAACGAUCUGUAGCUGGUCUGAGAGGACGACCAGCCACACUGGAACUGAGACACGGUCCAGACUCCUACGGGAGGCAGCAGUGGGGAAUUUUGGACAAUGGGCGAAAGCCUGAUCCAGCCAUUCCGCGUGCAGGAUGAAGGCCCUCGGGUUGUAAACUGCUUUUGUACAGAACGAAAAGGUUUCUACUAAUACUAGGAGCUCAUGACGGUACUGUAAGAAUAAGCACCGGCUAACUACGUGCCAGCCGCCGCAGUAA